rnacentral:rRNA from 1 species
AUUGAACGCUGGCGGCAGGCCUAACACAUGCAAGUCGAACGGUAACACAGAGAGCUUGCUCUCGGGUGACGAGUGGCGGACGGGUGAGUAAUGUCUGGGAAACUGCCCGAUGGAGGGGGAUAACUACUGGAAACGGUAGCUAAUACCGCAUAACGUCGCAAGACCAAAGUGGGGGACCUUCGGGCCUCACACCAUCGGAUGUGCCCAGAUGGGAUUAGCUAGUAGGUGGGGUAAUGGCUCACCUAGGCGACGAUCCCUAGCUGGUCUGAGAGGAGGACCAGCCAACCUGGAACUGAGACACGGUCCAGACUCCUACGGGAGGCAGCAGUGGGGAAUAUUGCACAAUGGGCGCAAGCCUGAUGCAGCCAUGCCGCGUGUAUGAAGAAGGCCUUCGGGUUGUAAAGUACUUUCAGCGGGGAGGAAGGCGGUGAAGUUAAUAACUUCACCGAUUGACGUUACCCGCAGAAGAAGCACCGGCUAACUCCGUGCCAGCAGCCGCGGUAA